rnacentral:misc_RNA from 1 species
AGCCAAUGAACAUGGGUGCAUACUCAUUUAUUGCGCCUCGCCUAUUCACUACAAUGAAGCAUCUGGGGAGGGGCGCUUUUGAGGACAUCAAGUAUGUUGGAAGGGCACCAUCUGCUUCCACAGCCACUGGUUUCCAUUUUGUUCAUGUGAAAGAACACACCGAGCUUCUCCAGAAGGCAAUGCAGCCCGAACCAAUCAACUACCCUUUCUGAAACAUCUGUAUCAGCUACCAUACUUUUCUAAAGAAAUAAGCGUACUGUUUCUUUAAUUUUGUUUUGCAUGUAGUGGGUUAGUAUCAACCCACAGGUUGUU